GAGGGUAGAGCUCAGUGGUAGAGUGCGUGCUUAGCAUGCACGAUGUCCUGGGUUCAAUCCCCAGCACCUCCA
rnacentral:tRNA from 1 species